AUGUGUUCUUUCUCUCAUCUUCCUUUGCAACAACUUUCUCUUAAGAUAUUUGUAGCUUGGAAGUGGAAUACUCACGGGAUUCGACAGUAUUCGAAAGUGGCCCUUCAAACCUUCAAAGUGGUAAUAUCUCAUUCGUGCCUUUAG